rnacentral:rRNA from 1 species
AUCCUGGCUUAGGACGAACGCUGGCGGCGUGCCUAAUACAUGCAAGUCGAACGGUCUUUCUAUGGAAGCUUGCUCCACUGAGAAGAUAGUGGCGAACGGGUGAGUAACACGUGGGUAACCUGCCCAUAAGAGGGGGGAUAACAUCCGGAAACGGGUGCUAAUACCGCAUAGUUUUCUUGAUCGCAUGAUCGGGAAAGGAAAGACGGCCUUUGUGCUGUCGCUUAUGGAUGGACCCGCGGCGUAUUAGUUAGUUGGUGAGGUAACGGCUCACCAAGACGAUGAUACGUAGCCGACCUGAGAGGGUGAUCGGCCACAUUGGGACUGAGACACGGCCCAAACUCCUACGGGAGGCAGCAGUAGGGAAUCUUCCGCAAUGGACGAAAGUCUGACGGAGCAACGCCGCGUGAGUGAAGAAAGGUUUUCGGAUCGUAAAACUCUGUUGUCAGAGAAGAACAAGUUGGAGAGUAACUGCUCCAGCCUUGACGGUAUCUGACCAGAAAGCCACGGCUAACUACGUGCCAGCAGCCGC